rnacentral:tRNA from 1 species
GCCGCGUUAGCUCAGCUGGUAGAGCGCCCGCCUUGUAAGCGGAAGGUCAGGAGUUCGAUCCUCCUACGCGGCUCCA